rnacentral:tRNA from 3 species
GGCCCCAUCGUCUAGGGGUAAGGACGCCGGAUUCUCAUUCCGGUAACAGGGGUUCGAUUCCCCUUGGGGCUACCA